rnacentral:lncRNA from 13 species
AUGACAGCUGUGAUAAGGAUAAAGGUGUUUCAUAACGAUUGUGACCAACCUUGCAGACAGCCUAUUAUGGGAUCUUAUGAUCGUGCUCUGGGACUCAGGCAAAGAGAGAGAGUGUGCCAAGGAAGGAGGUCGUGUUUCCUCUCACUGUUUACCCUCCGGUCCAGAUUUUUCUUCAAAAGAAAUCUGAGUGGUCUGACAGGCUUUCUUAGUUAAGCUGUCUUCCUGAGU